GCGCAUCCUGCUGGACCGGCUAGGGCGCGUUCGUGCCGAGCUGGCCAGGCGCGAUAUCACCGCCGCGGUGCUGUUCGAUCCCGCCCAUGUGCGC
rnacentral:tRNA from 1 species